rnacentral:tRNA from 1 species
AAGGGAGACCUAAUUCCGGUAGGAGACGAAAAAAAAGUAGUCCCAACCAAGAAUCAAUCCCAAAAGGUCGGAGCGAGGCGAAAUUGGCUUUCAAACUAGGUUCUGGGUUCAAACAAGACCUGAAUCAGGAACAAGGGCUAUUAGCUCAGGUGGUUAGAGCGCACCCCUGAUAAGGGUGAGGUCCCUGGUUCGAGUCCAGGAUGGCCCACCUGCACAGGUGGCAAAAACAAGAGAAGCUCCGAAUCAGCACCUUAUCUUAUCUAUAUAUAAGAGAGAAUGCUGGCUCUGAGUACAGAGUCCAGAGGAACCUUGAAAACUGCAUAGAGCUAGGUGAAAAAGCCAAAAAAGAAGACCGCAA